UUAAAGAAGAAUACAAUGACGGUACUUAAGGUAAAGCAUCGGCUAACUCCGUGCCAGCAGCCGCGGUAAGACGGGGGAUGCAAGUGUUAUCCGGAAUUACUGGGCGUAAAGCGUCUGUAGGUGGUUUUUUAAGUCUACUGUUAAAUCUUGAGGCUUAACCUCAAAUCUGCAGUAGAAACUAAGAGACUAGAGUUUAGGAGGGGUAGAGGGAAUUUCCAGUGGAGCGGUGAAAUGCGUAGAGAUUGG
rnacentral:rRNA from 1 species